UGGUUCUCGCAUCGAUGAAGAACGCAGCGAAACGCGAUAGGUAAUGUGAAUUGCAGAAUUCCGUGAAUCAUCGAAUCUUUGAACGCACAUUGCGCCUUCUGGUAUUCCGGUAGGCAUGUCUGUUUGAGCGUCAGCAAAACCCCUCAGCAUGCAGUUUUUGUUAACUGUCGGCUGGCUUUGGGCACGGAAGACGGCGGCGAGAGCCCCGCCCCUGCUUUAAACUUGCUGCACGACCGCAAGCAUCCGGCUAGGUUAAUGGAGUGGUGUUUACAUUCUUUCCAUACUCUCCUGCUGGUGCCGGCGGCGUUAAACCCGAUGUUGCCUUGCUGCAACUGAAGUUUGACCUCAAAUCAGAUAAGGAUACCCGCUGA
rnacentral:misc_RNA from 1 species